GGUUAUACCUCUUCAUUUUCCACCACACUUUCGCGAUUCCACACUCAUCCCUUCUGAAUGCUUCAUCGGCGGCUCUAUCAGCCUUGCACCGCCGUCUCACAAACCUCCAUUGCACUCAAAUUCCAUCGGCCUUGCUCGCAUCGCUCCCUUCCGUCGCACCCCUUCCCGGUUCUUCUUCGUCGCACCCCUUCCAUCGGCCUUGCUCGCAUCGCUCCCUUUCGAACCCUAAUGCGCGUUUCUCUCUUCGAUCUCGCCACUAGUGCUUGCUCUUUUCCGUGUGUUGCUGUGUUUCUCUCUUCGAUCUUGCCUCAGCUAUGCAGGGAUUAUGUUUUUA